rnacentral:rRNA from 1 species
ACGCGCGGAACCUUACCAGGUCUUGACAUCCCAUUGACCGCUAUGGAGACAUAGCUUUCCCUUCGGGGACAGCGGUGACAGGUGGUGCAUGGUUGUCGUCAGCUCGUGUCGUGAGAUGUUGGGUUAAGUCCCGCAACGAGCGCAACCCUUGAUCUUAGUUGCCAGCAUUCAGUUGGGCACUCUAAGGUGACUGCCGGUGACAAACCGGAGGAAGGUGGGGAUGACGUCAAAUCAUCAUGCCCCUUAUGACCUGGGCUACACACGUGCUACAAUGGACGGUACAAACGGUUGCCAACCCGCGAGGGGGAGCUAAUCCGAUAAAACCGUUCUCAGUUCGGAUUGUAGGCUGCAACUCGCCUACAUGAAGCCGGAAUCGCUAGUAAUCGCGGAUCAGCAUGCCGCGGUGAAUACGUUCCCGGGCCUUGCACACACCGCCCGU